GAUGAACGCUAGCUACAGGCUUAACACAUGCAAGUCGAGGGGAAACGAUAUUGGAAGCUUGCUUCCGAUAGGCGUCGACCGGCGCACGGGUGAGUAACGCGUAUCCAACCUGCCCACCACUUGGGGAUAACCCUGCGAAAGUAAGACUAAUACCCAAUGAUAUCCCAAGAAGACAUCUGAAUGAGAUUAAAGAUUUAUCGGUGAUGGAUGGGGAUGCGUCUGAUUAGCUUGUUGGCGGGGUAACGGCCCACCAAGGCGACGAUCAGUAGGGGUUCUGAGAGGAAGGUCCCUCACAUUGGAACUGAGACACGGUCCAAACUCCUACGGGAGGCAGCAGUGAGGAAUAUUGGUCAAUGGGCGAGAGCCUGAACCAGCCAAGUAGCGUGCAGGAUGACGGCCCUAUGGGUUGUAAACUGCUUUUAUAAGGGAAUAAAGUGAGCCUCGUGAGGCUUUUUGCAUGUACCUUAUGAAUAAGGACCGGCUAAUUCCGUGCCAGCCGCCGCGGUAA
rnacentral:rRNA from 1 species